rnacentral:rRNA from 1 species
UACGUAGGGGGCAAGCGUUGUCCGGAUUUAUUGGGCGUAAAGAGCGUGUAGGCGGCUGGGUAGGUCCGUUGUGAAAACUCGAGGCUCAACCUCGAGACGCCGAUGGAAACCCUCCAGCUAGAGUCCGGAAGAGGAGAGUGGAAUUCCUGGUGUAGCAGUGAAAUGCGCAGAUAUCAGGAAGAACACCCGUGGCUAAGGCGGCUCUCUAGUACGGUACUGACGCUGAGACGCGAAAGCGUGGGGAGCGAACAGG